rnacentral:rRNA from 1 species
UACGAAGGGGGCUAGCGUUGCUCGGAAUUACUGGGCGUAAAGGGCGCGUAGGCGGAUAGUUUAGUCAGAGGUAAAAGCCCAGGGCUCAACCCUGGAACUGCCUUUGAUACUGGCUAUCUUGAGUUCGGGAGAGGUGAGUGGAAUGCCGAGUGUAGAGGUGAAAUUCGUAGAUAUUCGGCGGAACACCAGUGGCGAAGGCGACUCACUGGCCCGAUACUGACGCUGAGGCGCGAAAGCGUGGGGAGCAAACAGG